rnacentral:sRNA from 1 species
CACACCAAAAGCCUUGGUGAAGCUGAGCUGCCCGGCCACUGCCACUCCUCCUGCAGACGAAGGAACUGAGAACCACAGAGACAGUGGAAGAGGAUGGAACCGGUAGUUUUCAAUAUACAAGGCUUUCACCUCUUUAUUAAAUUUAUUUCUAAGUAUUUUAAUCUUUUUGAUGCUAUUCAUCUUCAACCCAGAUUUCAAAUACCAGUGUUUUCAAACUAGAAGAGAAUCCAAAACCUGCACUUAUUCUGGAGGAAAAAAAUGAAGCUAACCAUCUAGGAGGACAAAGAGAUUCUAAUAAGCAAGGAGGGAGUUAUACACAAGGAAAUCCAGGAAUAUUUAGGCUUCAAGGACAACCAGGUUAUUUUAACAAGCUAGAGAAACCAAGACAUUUUAAGCAAGGGAGAGCAGGAGUUUUAAACCAGCCUGGGAUUUUAAAGAAUUCAGGAAAAUCUAACCAAAAAGGGAAUCCAGAAUCUUCUAAUAAGCAGGAAAACUCAGGAUCUUCUAGCCAACUAGGGAGACCAGGGAUUUCUACCCAACAGGGAAAUCCAGGGUCAUCUGGCCAACAAGAGAAACCAGGGUCAUUUAGCCAGAAAGUGAUGGUGGGGUCAUCUAGCCAACAGGGGAAGCCAGGAUCAUCUAGCCAACACGGGAAUCUAGGGUCAUCAACCCAGAAAGGGAAUUUAGGAUCUUCUAGCCUACAAGGGCAUCUGGGUUUAUCUAGCCAUCAAGGGAAGCCAGAGUCAUCUGGCCAACAGGGGAAGCCAGGGUCAUCUAGCCAACAAGGAAAUCUAGGAUCUUCUGGCCAACAGGAGAAGCCAGGAUCUUCUAGCCAACAGGGGAAGCCAGGGUAUUCUAGCCAUCAAGGGAAGCCAGGGUCAUCUAGCCAACAAGGAAAUCUACAUUUAUCUAGCCAGCAAGGGAAUCAAGGACCUUCUAGCAAACAGAGGAAGCCAGGUUCAUCCAGCCAUCAAGGAAAUCUACGAUUAUCUAGCCAGCAAGGGAAUAUAGGAUCUCCUAGCCAACAGGAGAAGCCAGAGUCUUCUAGCCAACAAGGGAAUCUAGGGUCAUCUAGCUAUCAAGGGAAGCCAGUGUCAUCUAGCCAACGAGGGAAGCCAGUGUCAUCUAGCCAACAAGGGAAGCCAGGGGCAUCUAGCCAGCAAGGAGAUCUAGGAUCUUCUAAGCAGCAGGGGAAGCCAGGAUCAUCUAGCCAGCAAGGAAAUAUAGAGUCAUCUGGCCAGGAAUGGAAGCCAGAGUCAUCUAGCCAUCAGAGAAAAUUAAGGUCAUUUUACAACCAACGACAAA